rnacentral:tRNA from 1 species
GGAGAGGUGGCCGAGCGGUCGAAGGCGACGGUCUUGAAAACCGUUGACUCCUCACGGGGUCCGGGGGUUCGAAUCCCUCCCUCUCCGCCA